CCUACGGGUGGCAGCAGUGAGGAAUAUUGGUCAAUGGACGAGAGUCUGAACCAGCCAAGUAGCGUGAAGGAUGACUGCCCUAUGGGUUGUAAACUUCUUUUAUAUGGGAAUAAAACGUUCCACGUGUGGGAUUUUGUAUGUACCAUAUGAAUAAGGAUCGGCUAACUCCGUUCCAGCAGCCGCGGUAAUACGGAGGAUCCGAGCGUUAUCCGGAUUUAUUGGGUUGAAAGGAAGCGUAGGUGGAUUGUUAAGUCAGUUGUGAAAGUUUGCGGCUCAACCGUAAAAUUGCAGUUGAAACUGGCAGUCUUGAGUACAGUAGAGGUGGGCGGAAUUCGUGGUGUAGCGGUGAAAUGCUUAGAUAUCACGAAGAACUCCGAUUGCGAAGGCAGUUCACUGGACUGCAACUGACACUGAGGCUCGAAAGUGUGGGUAUCAAACAGGAUUAGAUACCCUGGUAGUC
rnacentral:rRNA from 1 species